GACCCAGUGGCGAAGUGGUAUCGCAUCUGCCAGACUUUCCGCAUACAGAACUUGAGUUUCUGCGGAAGACACCCGUUCGAUUCGGGUCUGGGUCA